rnacentral:rRNA from 1 species
UAGGGAAUCUUCCGCAAUGGGCGAAAGCCUGACGGAGCAACGCCGCGUGAGUGAUGAAGGUCUUCGGAUCGUAAAACUCUGUUAUUAGGGAAGAACAAAUGUGUAAGUAACUAUGCACGUCUUGACGGUACCUAAUCAGAAAGCCACGGCUAACUACGUGCCAGCAGCCGCGGUAAUACGUAGGUGGCAAGCGUUAUCCGGAAUUAUUGGGCGUAAAGCGCGCGUAGGCGGUUUUUUAAGUCUGAUGUGAAAGCCCACGGCUCAACCGUGGAGGGUCAUUGGAAGCUGGAAAACUUGAGUGCAGAAGAGGAAAGUGGAAUUCCAUGUGUAGCGGUGAAAUGCGCAGAGAUAUGGAGGAACACCAGUGGCGAAGGCGACUUUCUGGUCUGUAACUGACGCUGAUGUGCGAAAGCGGGGGGAUCAAACAGG